rnacentral:rRNA from 1 species
UUAAGACCUCGGAUCAGGUAGGGAUACCCGCUGAACUUAAGCAUAUC